CUGUUUAAUCAUUCACAAGUCCAUGUUAUGGUCAGAUUUCUCAACAUAACAUUACGGACAGAAGGGUAGGACUAAACUAGUCAACAUUAUCAAAAUAAACAAUACCAUAAUUAACAUGUCUCAGAUGCUUACAAGAACGAGUGGCUAGAGGAAAUACGUCAAUCCUAAAUAUUACAUCAAGUACCUAAACAACUAGUCCAGCAGUUAAUAAUGCUUACUAAACCGUUGCGCUACUACCGAAAAAGUACUUCAGUACAAAAUAACCUUCUGCCCAUCGUCAUUAUAUUACAAGAUAGCAAACGUGCCCAUUAAAACGGCCAUCAAACACAGCUCAGCAAUCACCAUCGUCAAGGAAGAAAGAGAUCGUCCUCAUCUAGCCGCAGGCGGUAAAUCCUAUCCUCCAAGUAAUGGAUAUGGUUCUUGUGGUUCUUGUUCUUCUCCCUCAACUUCUAGUUCCUCAAGUCAUGUUUCGUGUUAGUUAUAACCAACUCGUCGUACACAUGAACUCCAUCUUCGUCCUUUACCUUGCACCACAUGAAGCAGCCACAAUCACCAUUGCUCUUUCGGCAACCGAAGUAGCUACGGAAGGGAACCUGAGUUUCAAUGGAUGGAAGCUCUAGUGAAUACACCUUGGCUGGAAGGUUACACCCACACAUUGGAAUGAUACUCAUCUUGCAAUUGCCAAUGACGGAAAAACAACUAUCCAUAAGCAUAAACCCAGUCAUCCAUAACACUAAGCAACUGUAAAACUCUCGAAACACAAAGUUGCUACUAACGAUUUAAGGCAAUUCAGAUUACAUGUCCCACAAAUUUUCUGUUUUUUCUCAAAUUACGUGACUGCCCUAUACAUUAGCUCCCAUCGAAUGAUUGAAUAGCUUAUUCAAGGGCUGAAGUGGCCUUGGUUACACUUCAUCCCCUAAGGAUUUCAACAUGGUAAGCACUUAAAUUAUAAUGAGUAUUUUGUUCCAUCGUUUUGAGAAUCUCUCCUUCAAUCAAUUUCAAUUCAACAUAUGCAAUCAUAUGAGCAAUCAUUUACGAAACCCCAAUCUUCAAUCAUAUGAAGAACCUAAAUAGUAAUUGAUGGUGGAUACGUCGCUGGAUUCAAAGAAAUUCGAAUCAAUAGUCGAUGAUCUCGAUUUGAAUAACAAACUAGGACAGUAAUUACAUCUCUGGUGACAAACAAAUCCAGUUGGAAUCCGCAAACCUCAACCCUAAUGUCGGAGCAACUAUCGACUCAUGAUGUAAACGAUGAAGAGAAGCAAAUCAGGGAACUGCACUUGGGUUUUUGUAGAAGAACCGCGACGAUGGAUGAUGGAGGCUGCUCCAAAGACGGCGAGAUCGUGAUCACGAUCCAUAGACGGUUGCAGAAUCAAAAGAAGUGGUGGAUUUCAGAAGGGAUAAGAUUUGAAGGAGAAAGAGAGAGAGAGAGACGGUUUAAAAAAUCGUGUUUCUUUGAGCAUAAGAGGGGUGUUGGUCAAACCCCUAUUAUGUA
rnacentral:lncRNA from 1 species